GAUCUUUACUAAAAAAAAAUCAGAUUUUAAUAUAGUUGUAUCUUGUUAUAUUGUAUACUUAAUUUGCAAAUUAAUUAGAUCUAUCUUAGCACGAAAUUUAACAAAACAAGAAUUCGGAUUUAUAAAUAAAUACGACUCAUCACUGUAUGAGUUGAUACGAAUUGAAAUAACCACGUGUUUCCGCUAUGGUGGCAGUAAACAAACAACAUGAUGGUGAUCCGAAAUCUGAACGUCAAUUUUCAUGAUUAUUUCACGACGAAGAUCAUCACAUCAAUGAAUCAAAUAAUACGGACAUCCUUUGGUAUUAGCAGGGUCCUGGCAACAUAUGCAACAAUACUUUCAUCUGUGAAUACCCACUUGCUAAGCCCACCAUGAUCUACGAAUGCCAAUUAAUAUGUAAGGACACCAAUGAACAGACACUUUCCAAUUAUCGUACAUCAUAUAUAUGGGUGGUCAAACUCACUGGAUGGUUUAUCAACACUCCCAUGCUCACGAACAGCCUUGCCCCAGGAAUUUUGCCCUGAAGUAACAUUGCAGUCAAUUGUCUCCCUUCUUUUUACAACCCUGGCAGCCAUGCAGGAUAGAAGCUGAUCACUUGAACUUGAAAGCAAAUUAUAAUGUCUUGGACAAGUCAAAGAACUUCCUCCAGUCUUACAGAGAAGUAACAGUUGAUAAGAGAAUGGUGGACACAAAGUAAAAGUGCUCUUCAACAUUUUGUUGAAGAUUUCAGUCUGAUUUGGAAUUCAUCUUGCAAUAUAUCUGGAUUUGUAUAUUUGGAUAUAAGCAUCAAAUUUUCAACUUAUUGACUAAACAGUUUUGGGCUAAAUAUUGCCAAUGUUAUUUAUUAUUAUUAUUUCCCUCCAAGAUAACAUGUCAAGUCUUUAUUG